rnacentral:rRNA from 1 species
UACGUAGGGGGCAAGCGUUGUCCGGAAUCAUUGGGCGUAAAGAGCGUGUAGGCGGUUCGGUAAGUCGGCUGUGAAAGUCCAGGGCUCAACCCUGGGAUGCCGGUCGAUACUGCCGGACUAGAGUUCGGAAGAGGCGAGUGGAAUUCCCGGUGUAGCGGUGAAAUGCGCAGAUAUCGGGAGGAACACCUAUGGCGAAGGCAGCUCGCUGGGACGGUACUGACGCUAAGGCGCGAAAGCGUGGGGAGCGAACAGG